CGUGCCUAACACAUGCAAGUCGAGCGAUGAAACCGCCUCCGGGCGGACAUGAAGCGGCGAACGGGUGAGUAACACGUGACCGACCUGCCCCCCGCCCAGGGACAGCCCCCCGAAAGGGGGAUUAAUACCUGGUACUCCGGCAAGGACGCAUGUCCUGGCCGGGAAAGCCUUGGCGGCGGGGGAUGGGGUCGCGGCCCAUCAGGUAGACGGCGGGGCAGAGGCCCACCGUGCCGACGACGGGUAGCCGGGUUGAGAGACCGACCGGCCACAUUGGGACUGAGAUACGGCCCAGACUCC
rnacentral:rRNA from 1 species